rnacentral:rRNA from 1 species
UAGUGGCGAACGGGUGAGUAACACGUGGGCAAUCUGCCCUUCACUCUGGGACAAGCCCUGGAAACGGGGUCUAAUACCGGAUAACACUCUGUCCCGCAUGGGACGGGGUUGAAAGCUCCGGCGGUGAAGGAUGAGCCCGCGGCCUAUCAGCUUGUUGGUGGGGUGAUGGCCUACCAAGGCGACGACGGGUAGCCGGCCUGAGAGGGCGACCGGCCACACUGGGACUGAGACACGGCCCAGACUCCUACGGGAGGCAGCAGUGGGGAAUAUUGCACAAUGGGCGAAAGCCUGAUGCAGCGACGCCGCGUGAGGGAUGACGGCCUUCGGGUUGUAAACCUCUUUCAGCAGGGAAGAAGCGAGAGUGACGGUACCUGCAGAAGAAGCGCCGGCUAACUACGUGCCAGCAGCCGCGGUAAUACGUAGGGCGCAAGCGUUGUCCGGAAUUAUUGGGCGUAAAGAGCUCGUAGGCGGCUUGUUGCGUCGGUUGUGAAAGCCCGGGGCUUAACCCCGGGUCUGCAGUCGAUACGGGCAGGCUAGA